UGGGGAAUAUUGGGCAAUGGGCGCAAGCCUGACCCAGCAACGCCGCGUGAGGGAAGAAGGUCUUCGGAUUGUAAACCUCUGUCCUUGGGGACGAAAAAAAUGACGGUACCCAAGGAGGAAGCUCCGGCUAACUACGUGCCAGCAGCCGCGGUAAUACGUAGGGAGCGAGCGUUGUCCGGAAUUACUGGGCGUAAAGGGUGCGUAGGCGGCGCUGCAAGUCAGAUGUGAAAUCCCCAGGCUUAACCUGGGGGGUGCAUUUGAAACUGCAGUGCUUGAGUGCAGGAGAGGAAAGCGGAAUUCCUAGUGUAGCGGUGAAAUGCGUAGAUAUUAGGAAGAACAUCAGUGGCGAAGGCGGCUUUCUGGACUGUAACUGACGCUGAGGCACGAAAGCGUGGGGAGCAAACA
rnacentral:rRNA from 1 species